rnacentral:lncRNA from 1 species
CUACCUUAAUACACAAAUGAAUUCAUUUUAAACAAAAACAAUUUUAUUAACUAAAAUAUUUGAUUUAGUUUAUUCUCUCAUUUUCUUUACAUGUGACAACCUUAUGAGACCAUAAUGGAAGAUAUUUAAAUCACCGGGAAUUUAGUUUACAGUAGAAUUAUAUAUGUUAGGUGUAGAUACCAUAUUCGGCCAUGUAAAGUAUGCAGUUAUGUAUAGUCAGCACCCCCUUUUAAUCCCCCAGAAAUAGAAAAAAUAAUAAAGAUUCACUGGUAUUCAUAAGGCUUUUUAUAUAAUUAGUGAAUUAUCAAUGAUUCCAUUAUACAAAGUAGGAAGACAAUCAAUUAACAUUGUCAGUAAAAAUAAAAUUGAUUUGUAUAAAUGUACAAACUUUUAAAAGAAGAACGAAAGUAAGGGCGCUCAAAACUUUUCUCCUGUUUUGUACCAAUCAUCUUCCAAUAUACAUUAAUUGUUUUUAUCCUGCAAUUAAACCUUGGCACUUUGACAAUUAUUUCUGUUUUACAUUUGAAACUGUUUUCUUAAGAUUUUAUAUAGAAAUCAACAUGGUUCAACACGAUCUGCAGAGAGGAACCCAAAAGGAACAAUAAAGUUAAAAUUACCGUUCCCUCACAACUUUAGCUAGACAAAACAAGUCUUCAUUUGAAAAUCUGUCAUUUGCACAAUAGUUGGCUGACUGCAGGAUAACUUUAUUUGCCAAGAAUUUAUUGGCAUCUGAAUAGACACAAGACCAAAAUGUAAUUUAUGUGUUGAAAAAACAGGGGUUACAUAGUUCAUAUACUGAUUUUUCAAUUAAUUUUACAAUUACAAGCUUGCUACAUAAUAAAACUCAUUUUAUUUUCUAAUCUAGAUACAUAUUUGAGCAAACUUUAUAUGACAAUAUAUAAAAUUCCCUUUUUUCCCUAAACUUUUGAAAUACCACACUAAGA